rnacentral:rRNA from 1 species
AUUGAACGCUGGCGGCAUGCCUUACACAUGCAAGUCGAACGGUAACAGGUUAAGCUGACGAGUGGCGAACGGGUGAGUAAUACAUCGGAACGUGCCCAGUAGUGGGGGAUAGCCCGGCGAAAGCCGGAUUAAUACCGCAUACGACCUAAGGGUGAAAGGGGGGGAUCGCAAGACCUCUCGCUAUUGGAGCGGCCGAUGUCAGAUUAGGUAGUUGGUGGGGUAAAGGCCCACCAAGCCGACGAUCUGUAGCUGGUCUGAGAGGACGACCAGCCACACUGGGACUGAGACACGGCCCAGACUCCUACGGGAGGCAGCAGUGGGGAAUUUUGGACAAUGGGCGCAAGCCUGAUCCAGCCAUGCCGCGUGCGGGAAGAAGGCCUUCGGGUUGUAAACCGCUUUUGUCAGGGAAGAAAUCCUUUGGGUUAAUACCUCGGGGGGAUGACGGUACCUGAAGAAUAAGCACCGGCUAACUACGUGCCAGCCGCCGCCGUAA